rnacentral:rRNA from 1 species
UACGUAGGGAGCAAGCGUUGUCCGGAAUUAUUGGGCGUAAAGAGCUCGUAGGCGGUUUGUCGCGUCGGAUGUGAAAGCCCGGGGCUUAACCCCGGGUCUGCAUUCGAUACGGGCAGACUAGAGUGUGGUAGGGGAGAUCGGAAUUCCUGGUGUAGCGGUGAAAUGCGCAGAUAUCAGGAGGAACACCGGUGGCGAAGGCGGAUCUCUGGGCCAUUACUGACGCUGAGGAGCGAAAGCGUGGGGAGCGAACAGG